CAGAUGAUAAUCAUAACAAAAUUAAAUACGAUGAUUCUUCUCGAUAUCCAACUAAUAAUAAUAAUUUAAAUACUACAAACGAUGAUGAAAGAAAAUCUAUAUACAGUGAUGAACUUGAUAGCAUAAAGGAAUCUCCUAAUUCAAACAAUAAAAACAAAAGUUUUGAAACAGAUACAUUAGGUAAUUCUAAUAGUGAUAUAGAAUCUGAUAAAAAUAAUCGUGGUUCAUCAAAAAAUGACUCUCGUUUCGAUGAUACAAAGAAAUCUACAGAACUUGAUAUUAAAA